AGUGGCGGACGGGUGAGUAACGCGUGAGAAUCUGCCUUGGGGUCGGGGACAACCACUGGAAACGGUGGCUAAUACCGGAUAAGCCGAUUGGUGAAAGAUUUAUUGCCCGAAGAGGAGCUCGCGUCUGAUUAGCUAGUUGGUGAGGUAAGAGCUCACCAAGGCAGCGAUCAGUAGCUGGUCUGAGAGGACGAUCAGCCACACUGGGACUGAGACACGGCCCAGACUCCUACGGGAGGCAGCAGUGGGGAAUUUUCCGCAAUGGGCGAAAGCCUGACGGAGCAAGACCGCGUGAGGGAGGAAGGCUCUUGGGUUGUAAACCUCUUUUCUCAGGGAAGAAGCUCUGACGGUACCUGAGGAAUCAGCCUCGGCUAACUCCGUGCCAGCAGCCGCGGUAAUACGGAGGAGGCAAGCGUUAUCCGGAAUUAUUGGGCGUAAAGCGUCCGCAGGUGGCGAUUCAAGUCUGCUGUCAAAGCACGGGGCUUAACUCCGUAAAGGCAGUGGAAACUGAAUAGCUAGAGUGCCGUAGGGGUAGAGGGAAUUCCCGGUGUAGCGGUGAAAUGCGUAGAGAUCGGGAAGAACAUCGGUGGCGAAAGCGCUCUACUGGACGGCAACUGACACUCAGGGAAAAGCUAGGGGAGCGAAUGGGAUUAGAUACCCC
rnacentral:rRNA from 1 species